rnacentral:rRNA from 1 species
GAUGCUAAUACCGGAUAACAACAGAUGAUGCCUAUCAACUGUUUAAAAGAUGGUUCUGCUAUCACUCUUGGAUGGACCUGCGGUGCAUUAGCUAGUUGGUAGGGUAACGGCCUACCAAGGCGAUGAUGCAUAGCCGAGUUGAGAGACUGAUGGCCACAUUGGGACUGAGACACGGCCCAAACUCCUACGGGAGGCAGCAGGC